AUUCCGUGCUGUGGGCAUUUCCUCAACAUUUCCUUGUACAUCUCCCAAGUGUCAUACAAGGAUUCAGACUCUGAUUGCAAAAAGGACGAAAUGUCACUCCUCAGCUU